GACGAACGCUGGCGGCGUGCUUAACACAUGCAAGUCGAGCGGUAAGGCCCUUUCGGGGGUACACGAGCGGCGAACGGGUGAGUAACACGUGGGUGACCUGCCCUUAGCUCUGGGAUAAGCCUGGGAAACUGGGUCUAAUACCGGAUAUGACUCCAUGACGCAUGUUGUGGGGUGGAAAGCCUUGUGCGGCUAGGGAUGGGCCCGCGGCCUAUCAGCUUGUUGGUGGGUGAUGGCCUACCAAGGCGACGACGGGUAGCCGGCCUGAGAGGGCGACCGGCCACACUGGGACUGAGACACGGCCCAGACUCCUACGGGAGGCAGCAGUGGGGAAUCUUGCGCAAUGGGCGAAAGCCUGACGCAGCGACGCCGCGUGAGGGAUGACGGCC
rnacentral:rRNA from 1 species